AAAAAAAAUCGGAAUUAUGUUGUGUUGUAUACAUUAAGAAGAUUAAACAAAGGAAUGUCUCUCUAAUAUUCAAAAUUUAUUGCUUUCCACAUAAAGGUGGCUAUAGGGGAAGGUGUGAUAUUAAACGAUUUGUCCACGUAUAAUUAGUUUUUUUCAACAAUUUCUCUUUGUGAUAUAGUUUACUAUAAAAUGACAGUUGUCAUAAAAUAUAUGUUUGAUUUAAGAAAUAUAAGAAAAAUAUUGUUGUAAUAUGACGAAACUGUCAGAAGACAAGAAUAUUCCCAAGUUCGUGUACCAAAUUUAAUGUCGUCUCAAGCUUUAACUUUAAACUUUAAGCAUUUAAACUAGUCAAUUAAGUUGUGCCAUUAGAACUGAAAUGGGUCGAGCAAUAGAAUACAAUUCAUAUUGAAAACAACGACAAAUACAAGUAUUUUGACGAUUUCCUGGCAAUAUCAAUUGUUUGGCAUUUUAGCUCAUAAGAGUGCAUUCCCUUAAAUGAUAAUCAAAUCCCUUAUGUAUGUUAAUACUCUCAAUGUAAAAUGUGACAGUUUUACUUCUAAAAUAAUAAUAAUAAAAAA
rnacentral:lncRNA from 1 species